GAUGAACGCUGGCGGCGUGCCUAAUACAUGCAAGUCGAGCGAACAGAUGAGGAGCUUGCUCCUCUGACGUUAGCGGCGGACGGGUGAGUAACACGUGGAUAACCUACCUAUAAGACUGGGAUAACUUCGGGAAACCGGAGCUAAUACCGGAUAAUAUAUUGAACCGCAUGGUUCAAUAGUGAAAGACGGUUUUGCUGUCACUUAUAGAUGGAUCCGCGCCGCAUUAGCUAGUUGGUAAGGUAACGGCUUACCAAGGCAACGAUGCGUAGCCGACCUGAGAGGGUGAUCGGACACACUGGAACUGAGACACGGUCCAGACUCCUACGGGAGGCAGCAGUAGGGAAUCUUCCGCAAUGGGCGAAAGCCUGACGGAGCAAAGCCGCGUGAGUGAUGAAGGUCUUCGGAUCGUAAAACGCUGUUAUUAGGGAAGAACAAAUGUGUAAGUAACUAUGCACGUCUUGACGGUACCUAAUCAGAAAGCCACGGCUAACUACGUG
rnacentral:rRNA from 1 species